UCUCCGUCGGUGAACCAGCGGAGGGAUCAUUACCGAGUUUACAACUCCCAAACCCAAUGUGAACGUUACCAAACUGUUGCCUCGGCGGGGUCACGCCCCGGGUGCGUCGCAGCCCCGGAACCAGGCGCCCGCCGGAGGAACCAACCAAACUCUUUCUGUAGUCCCCUCGCGGACGUUAUUUCUUACAGCUCUGAGCAAAAAUUCAAAAUGAAUCAAAACUUUCAACAACGGAUCUCUUGGUUCUG
rnacentral:misc_RNA from 1 species